rnacentral:rRNA from 1 species
UAGGGAAUCUUCGGCAAUGGACGAAAGUCUGACCGAGCAACGCCGCGUGAGUGAAGAAGGUUUUCGGAUCGUAAAACUCUGUUGGUAGAGAAGAACGUUGGUGAGAGUGGAAAGCUCAUCAAGUGACGGUAACUACCCAGAAAGGGACGGCUAACUACGUGCCAGCAGCCGCGGUAAUACGUAGGUCCCGAGCGUUGUCCGGAUUUAUUGGGCGUAAAGCGAGUGCAGGUGGUUUAUUAAGUCUGGUGUAAAAGGCAGUGGCUCAACCAUUGUAUGCAUUGGAAACUGGUAGACUUGAGUGCAGGAGAGGAGAGUGGAAUUCCAUGUGUAGCGGUGAAAUGCGUAGAUAUAUGGAGGAACACCGGUGGCGAAAGCGGCUCUCUGGCCUGUAACUGACACUGAGGCUCGAAAGCGUGGGGAGCAAACAGGAUUAGAUACCCUGGUAGUCCACGCCGUAAACGAUGAGUGCUAGAUGUAGGGAGCUAUAAGUUCUCUGUAUCGCAGCUAACGCAAUAAGCACUCCGCCUGGGGAGUACGACCGCAAGGUUGAAAC